AGGACGGUUCGAGUAAGUGAUAUUUCGGAACAGUAUCUAGUUCCUUCAAUACACCUUGGUAUUGAAGGAACUAGAUACUGUUCCGAAAUAUCACUUACUCGAAC